rnacentral:rRNA from 1 species
AACGAACGCUGGCGGCAUGCCUAACACAUGCAAGUCGAACGAGACCUUCGGGUCUAGUGGCGCACGGGUGCGUAACGCGUGGGAACCUGCCCUUAGGUUCGGAAUAACUCCCCGAAAGGGGUGCUAAUACCGGAUAAUGUCUUCGGACCAAAGAUUUAUCGCCUUGGGAUGGGCCCGCGUUGGAUUAGCUAGUUGGUAGGGUAAAAGCCUACCAAGGCGACGAUCCAUAGCUGGUCUGAGAGGAUGAUCAGCCACACUGGGACUGAGACACGGCCCAGACUGCGACGGGAGGCAGCAGUGGGGAAUAUUGGACAAUGGGCGAAAGCCUGAUACAGCAAUGCCGCGUGAGUGAGCAAGGCCUUAGGGUUGUAAAGCUCUUUUACCCGGGAUGAUAAUGACAGUACCGGGAGAAUAAGCUCCGGCUAACUCCGUG